AUUUGUUGGAUCUGAUGGUUUUGUACCUGAAUUUUUCAUAGGCAAUAGCUUGGAUUUCUUUAGGAGUAAUUAAGAAUGAAUAAUGGUAUAUUGAAAUUCAAGAUCCAGAGUAAUGUGGGUUCAAUGUUAAUAUUGAAUAUGGUUAAAAGUCUUAUUAUUUUUUCCUGCCUCUUUGCUAUUUUUCAAUGAAUUCUUGGUGAUCUUUGCCUUUGAAAUCACAUAAUGCUAAAAUCUUCCUAAUUCCAAUUCCCCUUUUCUCACUCAUUAGUGAUCCCAGGGCACCGCCGUGUGAAUAUAAAGAUUGGCUGACAAAAAUGUCAGGAAAACAUGAUGUUGGAGCUUACAUGCUAAUGUAUAAGGGCGCUAAUCGUACUGAAACAGUCACGUCUUUUAGAAAACGAGAAAGUAAAGUGCCUGCUGAUCUCUUAAAGCGGGCCUUCGUGAGGAUGAGUACAAGCCCUGAGGCUUUCCUGGCGCUCCGCUCCCACUUCGCCAGCUCUCACGCUCUGAUAUGCAUCAGCCACUGGAUCCUCGGGAUUGGAGACAGACAUCUG
rnacentral:lncRNA from 1 species